rnacentral:rRNA from 1 species
AUGGGAGGGUGCGGCGCUCGCGGGCCGAUCUGCGCCGCCAGGACUCGCCCGACCCGCGGGACGCUUGAUCCGGUGACGCACCAGUCGCCGGUCGUCGGCCAGGCCGACCGACGACGGAGAUCGCAACACCCUGCACUAUUAUUCUGCCUCAACUCAUCCUUCCUCGAUGUGUGCUGCCUGGGAGGGCGCGCGCUCGCCGCUCGACCAGAGCCACACGGCCAUCCGGUCAUCGUUGCACUCGCCGCCCCCUCUGCUCCUCCACCUCAACUUCGGACACACGUGUAUUUCUGUGCCCACCCCAUGCUACCAGAGGAAACCGCGUGCCAGUCUCUCUGGAUGACUUUUAUUUUCUGCUGA